CGAGACUUGGUUGGUUUGGUUCUUACGAUAAGCAUAGCGUCUAGUUUCUUCAAUGCAGGGAUGUUCAUGUGAAGAUCGUUUCUUUGGCGUGUCGUCAUUAUCUGGAGAGAACUCGACGAUGUAAUCAGUGACGGAGAGAAGCCAAUCUAUCUCUUUUCUCCAUCGUGCUUUCCUCUCUGCUGGCAUCGGUUCCAAUCGCCGGUGCUCUCCAAACACAGAAGCUGUGAUAUUAUUAUCAUCAUCAUCAUCGGAAGGAAACCCACUUCAGAAAUACCAAAGAAUAUGCAAUCGGAGGUGGAAAAGAUGAGAUUUUUUUUUGCAGGAGAAUGAAUGAAUGUAUGCACCUGCGAGGUUAGUGAAGGCGUUGGACAGAGCAAGUGCUGAUGAAACUCCUUUGCCGCCUCCUGACAUGUCCUCUCCCAGUAGCAGUUUUGCAAAUCUCUCUUUCAUCUGCUCCAAGUCUGGAUUGAGAUUAUGAAUUCAUUGUUAGGAGGCGGCAACCCAUUUGACUAAAACACCUCAAAAGUCAGCUCCUUUGGCCUUUUUACCUCUGCCAUUAGAAUAUCAACACAGAAGGAUGAUACAUAGGAAUCAGGGCUAAAGUCCGAUCAAAUCAGAGAAAUAAAGGGGAAGAAAAAGAGAAGAAACAUGCCCGCAAGAAGCUGUUUUUCUCUGGCGAGAGCAGCGGCGAGAGCAGCUUCGUCCGUGGAGGAGGGCCUUGAUGACGGAAAUGGCCCCUUCUCAUC